GGUGGUAUGACGUCAUAAAGCCGCGCCGCGCUGUGAUGCGACUGAAGGAAGAGUGCCAAACACAGAAAAACUGCUGAAGUAACUGAGAUCUACGUGACACGCUGUUAUAAAGAUGGCGUUUAUUAAAGAAGAGAGUGAAGACGUGAAGAUUGAAGAAACAUUCAGAGUCAAACAAGAAGAUACUGAGACACAAACAAAGAUGGAGUUUAUUAAAGAGGAGAUCGAAGAGCUGAAGAUUAAAGAAGUGUUCAGUCUGAAACAAGAAGAUACUGAAGAACAAACAGCUUCGGUACAAAACGAACAGGCGAACAGGAAUGAGAUAUACAGCUCUCUGUUUGCAGUUGCGUCAGUCAUGCUCAACAGGGAAGUGAGUGAAACACACACAAACACAUUUUUAUCAAAUAAUACAUCAUUAAUAGUAGUUCACUUCCGUGAUUUGGUAUGAUUGUGUUCACAUCAGCAGCGAACCGUACCAGAGUUCACAUGAACCGUACCCCAGACCACCGUUUUUAAGUGGACUCGGGUACAGUUCGCUGGUGUGCACCCAAAUUCGGAAGACAGCGUUCCAUCGUCCAAUAGAACUGAACUCUGAUGUCAAUCCAACCCGGGUGCGCACCAAAAGUGCUCGUGUGAAAGCACCCUUAACCUUCUUCUCAACUUCAUUCAUUUGCUUACUCGAUCCUUCUUGUUAAAUCUUGUGUGUCGAGACCCACAGGAUCCCAGUCCCAAAGCAGUUCCCUUUCGAUACUUCACUCAUACUGCGUAUGAGGAAAAGCUCCUUUUUUCCUCGAUACUGAAGCCUUUUUUCAAUAACGCAGUGCAACUGCACUGCCGUUGGUUUAAUCUGUAAACUUUUUUAAACCAAUGACAGCGCUGCGGCUGCAGCCAAAAUGGGCGGGGCGAAUGGCUAUAUAAGCAGGCAAAACGCCAGAAGAAAUCAGAUCUUACUCCUUCAGAGACGACUUCACUUCGCUGGAUCCCUAUUGAACGCUUUCCCCUGGAACGAGCUCUCGCCGUCGAAGAGGCACCGCAGCGGAUCAGCUGAGAUCGCCGAUCGCCUGCAGCGCCGGCGCUCUUGUGGACAGCCGCUCUCUAGCGCCGUUCCCGAGCCGCCCGCUUCUCACUUCCGGCCGCUUCUCAGCGGAUCUCCUGCCGCCAUCCAGCGAUUCUAAAAGAGCAAUUUCCAGUGGUUUUCACCGCUCUAAAAGAUUGUUUCUAAUGCCGUUUUCACAGCGGCGGCAUCUGAGCAAAUGCCACUCCACAGCUGUGGCACAUGCAGAGCCC
ensembl:lncRNA